rnacentral:rRNA from 1 species
CCCUUAGAUGCCCUGGGCCGCACGCGCGUUACACUGAUGCAUUCAACGAGCUUAUAACCUUGGCCGAGAGGCCUGGGCAAUCUUGUUAACGUGCAUCGUGAUAGGGAUAGAUUAUUGAAAUUAUUAAUCUUGAACGAGGAAUUCCUAGUAAACGCAGAUCAUCAAUCUGCAUUGAUUACGUCCCUGCCCUUUGUACACACCGCCCGUCGCACCUACCGAUUGGAUGGUCCGGUGAAGCCUCGGGAUUGUGGUUCUUGCCGCUUUAUUGUAGCGUGACCGCGAGAACUUGUCUAAACCUUAUCAUCUAGAGGAAGGUGAAGUCGUAACA